UCCUCGGCUGUCCUUGUGUAGCAGAGGAGUAAACAACUCAAGAGACAGUCACAGCAUUAAGGUUACAAGAUUCAGUUCUCAAAGGUCUCAUGAACAAAUUAUUAUCUAAGAAGAAAAGGUUCAAAAAUGAACCUUUUGAGGUUCCUGGAGCUUGCAAUUGUGGGGGAACCUUGAACUUCUUAGACUUAGACUUAGAAAACUUUAAUGUCCCGAAAGGCAAUUUGUUGUGCUCCCGACAGCUCUGAUGAGGAAUACCUUCCAACAAUUUCAUUGCGAAUGGGUGGUGCACUGAAGGGAGCACAGGUAAUUGACAAUCUGCCAACUAUUGGGAUUGAUGAGACUGUGCAUGAUCUGCCUGCCCCUGAAGUCCCUCUCGAUGAGCCCUUGAGUCUCGAGCUGCCGAUUUUGCCAGGCCCUCAGAAGGUCCUAAGUGAGGAUGACAUUAUUGGCGUUAGAGCAGCUGUGCUCUAUGAGAACUGCUUGAGGCAGCUUGUCACAUUUUUAACUCUUCCCGUGAACAGAUGCACUGGUGUCUUGAGGACUGGUUUAGUGUGUGACAGUGUUGCCCCAUUUUCAACAAACAUCGGCAUCAGGGGCACUGCAAUGAGUGUUGAAUGGAUCUGCCCCAAUGGACAUUGCCUAUGGCGGUGGAAUUCACAGCCUGUGUUGAAGUUUGGCAUGCAGGCUGGGGACUUUCUUCUUUCCACUAACAUUUUACUUUCUGGAAACAACUACACUAAAGUUGCUCUCCUAUUUAAAUUCAUGAACAUACAAAUGGUAAACACCAACACACACUACACCAUCCAGGACACCUACUGUGUUGACACUAUUAAAGAUUUUUGGGAAGAGAGUCCAUCAGGCGACUAAAAGGGAAAGAUGUUGUGCUCCUAGGUGAUGGCAGAAAUGACUCACCAGGGCAUUCUGCCCAAUACUGUAGCUACACAACCAUGGAGCUUGACUCUUAAGGAAAUCAUCCAUGUGGCCACUAUAGAUAAGCGGCAGACUCCAACAUCAUGGAGAAGGAGGGUUUUAUCCAGACAGUGGACAAGCUUACGCAAGAGAUCAAGGUAGUGGAGUUCUGCACGGAUGCUCAUGUCCAGAUUGGAGCCCUUUUGAUUCAAAGACCCAGAUAAAGGAAGAUAUAAGGAUCUGAAAAUUUACCACAGCCUGGACAUGUGGCAUG